rnacentral:rRNA from 1 species
CCCUUAGACGUUCUGGGCCGCACGCGCGCUACACUGACCAGUGCAACAAGCAUCCGUCCUUGGCCGACAGGCCCGGGCAAUCUUUGAACGCUGGUCGUGAUGGGGAUAGACUUUUGCAAUUUUUGGUCUUCAACGAGGAAUUCCUAGUAAACGCAAGACAUCAACUUGCAUUGAUUACGUCCCUGCCCUUUGUACACACCGCCCGUCGCACCUACCGAUUGAAUGGUCCGGUGAAGCCUCCGGAUUGGCGCGCACCUCGGUGCCGCCGAGAAGUUGGCUAAACCUUACCAUUUAGAGGAAGGUGAAGUCGUAACA